UACGUAGGGUGCAAGCGUUGUCCGGAAUUAUUGGGCGUAAAGAGCUCGUAGGCGGUCUGUCGCGUCGAUCGUGAAAACUUGGGGCUUAACCCUGAGCUUGCGAUCGAUACGGGCAUGACUGGAGUUCGGCAGGGGAGACUGGAAUUCCUGGUGUAGCGGUGAAAUGCGCAGAUAUCAGGAGGAACACCGGUGGCGAAGGCGGGUCUCUGGGCCGAUACUGACGCUGAGGCGCGAAAGCGUGGGGAGCAAACAGG
rnacentral:rRNA from 1 species